AGUCAGCCUCCGCGGUGACAACAGGUUGUGAACCCGGUCAGGUCCGGAAGGAAGCAGCCGCAGCAACUGCGUUGGGUAUCGCGGUGAGGCUGGCUGGA
rnacentral:SRP_RNA from 1 species